GAUGAACGCUGGCGGCGUGCCUAAUACAUGCAAGUCGAGCGAACAGACGAGAGUGCUUGCACUCUCUGCCGUUAGCGGCGGACGGGUGAGUAACACGUGGGUAACCUACCUAUAAGACUGGGAUAACUUCGGGAAACCGGAGCUAAUACCGGAUAAUAUUUAGCUUCGCAUGAAGCAAUAGUGAAAGACGGUUCUGCUGUCACUUAUAGAUGGACCCGCGGUGUAUUAGCUAGUUGGUGAGGUAACGGCUCACCAAGGCAACGAUACAUAGCCGACCUGAGAGGGUGAUCGGCCACACUGGGACUGAGACACGGCCCAGACUCCUACGGGAGGCAGCAGUAGGGAAUCUUCCGCAAAGGACGAAAGUCUGACGGAGCAAUGCCGCGUGAGUGAAGAAGGUUUUCGGAUCGUAAAACUCUGUUGUAAGGGAAGAACAAGUACGUUAGUAACUGAACGUACCUUGACGGUACCUUACCAGAAAGCCACGGCUAACUACGUG
rnacentral:rRNA from 1 species